GAAGAACGCUGGCGGCGUUCUUAACACAUGCAAGUCUAACGAAGUGGCGAACGGGUGAGUAACGCGUACUCAACCUGCCCUUCAGAGGGGGACAACAGUUGGAAACGACUGCUAAUACCGCAUACUGACGGCGGGGCUUGCGUCUGAUUAGCUCGUUGGAGGGGGAACGGCCCACCAAGGCGAUGUUCCGUAGCCGGUCUGAAUGAAUGAACAGCAGCAUUGGGACUGGUAAACUGCGCAGAAGAAUACGGGAAGCAGAAGUGGUGAAACUGACGCAAGAGAAGAAAAACUGACCGAGCAACGCCGCGUGAGUGAUGCCUGCGUACGGGAUGUAAAGCUCUGUUAAUCGGGAAGCGGUACCGGAAUAGAAUGCCACGGCUAACUACGUGCCAGCAGCCGCGGUAAUAC
rnacentral:rRNA from 1 species